rnacentral:piRNA from 1 species
UNGACUUUGCCCAACUUUCAGGUCCCAUGCC